GACGUAGGGCGCGAGCGUUGUCCGGAUUUAUUGGGCGUAAAGAGCUCGUAGGCGGCUCGUUGCGUCAACCGUGAAAACCCGGGGCUUAACUUCGGGCUUGCGGUUGAUACGGGCGGGCUGGAGUUCGGUAGGGGAGACUGGAAUUCCUGGUGUAGCGGUGAAAUGCGCAGAUAUCAGGAGGAACACCGGUGGCGAAGGCGGGUCACUGGACCGGUACUGACGCUGAUGCGCGAAAGCGUGGGGAGCAAACGGG
rnacentral:rRNA from 1 species